UUUUUUUUUUUUUUUUUUUUUUUUUUUUUUUUUUUUUUUUUUUUUUUUUUUUUUUUUUUUUUUUUUUUUUUUUUUUUUUUUUUUUUUUUUUUUUUUUUUUUUUUUUUUUUUUUUUUUUUUUUUUUUUUUUUUUUUUUUUUUUUUUUUUUUUUUUUUUUUUUUUUUUUUUUUUUUUUUUUUUUUUUUUUUUUUUUUUUUUUUUUUUUUUUUUUUUUUUUUUUUUUUUUUUUUUUUUUUUUUUUUUUUUUUUUUUUUUUUUUUUUUU
rnacentral:misc_RNA from 1 species